rnacentral:rRNA from 1 species
UACGGGGGGGGGAAGCGUUGGUCGGGAUUACUGGGCGGAAAGGGCUCGUAGGCGGCCAACUAAGUCAGACGUGAAAUCCCUCAGCUUAACUGGGGAACUGCGUCUGAUACUGGAUGGCUUGGAUUCGGGAGAGGAAUGCGGAAUUCCAGGUGUAGCGGUGAAAUGCGUAGAUAUCUGGAGGAACACCGGUGGCGAAGGCGGCAUUCUGGACCGAUAUUGACGCUGAGGAGCGAAAGCCAGGGGAGCAAACGGG